ensembl:misc_RNA
CAGAGCCCGCCAGCCGCUAAGCCGGGGCCACACCUGGGGGUGAUUUCAUGCCUCACCUCCAGUAGGCACCUUGGUUUCUUUGGGCUAAUCUCUGGCUCCCUUGCGCUAACUCUUGCUCUCACCCAGCUAAUCCCUGCCUCACCCUGACUGCCCCAGGGGCUGACCACUAACAACCAACCUGGCCCUGUCUGGGGGUUCCAGGCUCCUGGCCUGGCCCUGACCGGUUCUUAAUUAACCUUUCCUUCACCUUGACUAACUCCUGCCUUCCUGGUCUGUUCCUUUCAGCAGAAACUAAUGGUUUGUGGAUUUUUUUCUGACUAACAACAGGUCUAACAUUCCUCGUUACUGUUAACAGCUUGGAUGUCGGCAUGGCUGGG